ensembl:lncRNA
AGACCUUCCUUUGUUCUAUUUUCGUGGGCUUUUCCCUUCUUUGUCUUUUAGCCACUGCCAUUCUGGACUCCUUUUUCCUAUUCUAGGUACCUAAAACAAUCAAUAGUAAGACAAGAAAAGACUAUUAUUUGAGCCAAACUACGGUAUAGUCAACGCUAUUGUUUUUCCAUUAGUCAUGCACGCAUGUGGGAAUUAGACCAUAAAGAAGGCUGAGCACUGAAGGAUUGAUGCUUCUGAAUUGUGUUGCUGGAGAAGACUCUUGAGAGGCCCUUCAACAGCAAGGAGAUCAAACCAGUCAAUCCUAAAGGAAAUCAACCCUGACUAUUCACUGAAAGGACUGAUGCUGAAGCUCCAGUGCUUUGGUCACCUGAUGCAAACAGUCAACUUUCCCCGAUGCUGGCAAAGGCUGAGGGCAGGAGGAGAAGAGGGUGACAGAGGAUGGAGUGGUUCAAUGCCAUCCCUGACUCAAUGGACAUGAGUUUGAGCAAACUUCAGGAGAUGGUGAAAGACAGGGAAGCCUGGCGUGCUGCAGUCCAUGGGUCACAAAGAGUUGGACAUGACUGAGCCACUUAACAGCAACUGAAGACUAGCCUGGAAGGCUGCUUUCCAGAUGACUCUGAGAAACUACUUCUGAGAAGCAUCGUUUUAUAUUUUGUCAGAACAAAUAUUAAAGAAUCAGGGUUACAUUUCUUCAAAGUUAAAAUGAAAACAACAACAACAACAACAGAUCUGUAUGUAUACAGCGAGUCAGUAUGGCCAUGGCGCCUGGGAAGGGACUCCUAUCAUCAAAGGAAUACAGCACUGGUGUCCCAGGAAGAGAGGCAUUUAAUUUUUACUUUUUAACACAGAUGUUCUUUACUUUUGAAUGAAAGCUCAAUGAAGGAAGUGAUAUUUCCAGCUUUUAGAGCAAUUCUUAGCAUAGUACAUGCUCAGUAAAUCGAUCUUGAGUGAAGGAACUUGUGGCAAAAUGACCAAGAGUACUCUAUGGAACUGGGAACUGGGUCUCAAAGAUCCUGUAAAAACUGCAAAUUCAAUGACUCUGCACAUGAUUACUAAGUUAUGGUCUCUGGAGGUGGGCCCUGAGAAUCUGGUUGGUUCUUACACACAAUUAUUCCUUCUAAGUGAUGCUUCCAAGAAGGCUAAGGAGCCAGAGUUAGUUCCAGGAUUCCGAAUGGCUAUUUUGUAGCAAACCAAGGAGAGGUUGGCCACUCAACUAGGUUGACUAGGCCAAUAAUUUUGAACCUAGGUCCCUUUUGCUCCCUAGGACAUACUUGGCAAUGUCUGGAGACAUUUUAAGUUGUCCAAACUGACAUAGUGGGGGUAGUGGGAGAGGCAUGCUGUAGAAGGUCUAAGAGCAGACCGAGGUACUGGGCUUGACCAAUGAGCAUCUUAUUCUCUUGAUGACAGUGACUGCAACUAAAUCAACAGAAAUUCUGGGAUUUUUUUUUUUUUUGGCUCUACUGGAAAUUUGACUCUUGCCUGCUGCUGGCUUGAAGCUGGGAGCGUGUGACACUGCAGCUCUCAGGUGUCUUCACAAAGCUGCCCGACAGGAAAGCAGAACUGAGAGACACACAGAAACUCAGCCCUGAUGACUUAUAUCUGAACAAGUCCUGCCUCAAAUCUCCUGGAAAAGCAUAUAAAGAGGUAGAUUAACAUUACAGUGAUACGUGGACUGGAUGCACUAAAUUGGAUCCGAGAGCCAAUAUAACCAAUAAUGAUCCCUGGCAAGUUGAGCCUUUGCCCCCAAAGAAAUAGCAAGUGCAAUUCAAGUUUGAGACAGAAGGUGGGGAUUAGAAGGCAUCCCAGCACUCUUUUCUUUAGUGAAAGUUCGAGGGCCCCUUGUAACAUUUGCAGAAGUUAAAGUUUAGGUGGGGCAAGCUGACUCUGGCCAAUUGGAAGAAGAGAGGGAGAGGAGAAGAAAUACGAUAGUAAAUUAAUAUUUAAUGUGUGGUAGCCCAACUGGCUUUGCUAGUAAGGUAUCAGGUAAUAAAAACAUUCCAUGAUGUAGCCAGUAUGGAAAGAGGGUUUAUUGGCCCUAGGAGAAGGCAGUCAUAAUUCAGAGCUAUUAACAAAAAUAAUAGGGC